GCCGGGGUGGCCGAGCCAGGUCCAAGGCGCGGGCCUGCUAAGUCCGUCCCCGCAAGGGGGCCCGGGUUCAAAUCCCGGCCCCGGCACCA
rnacentral:tRNA from 2 species